GGCUCCUCUAAGGCUUAGCUUGCGGGAUGGAACCCAGAAUCCCAUGGCAAGAGCUUCCCUUCUUAUAUAUAACAUAUGCCAUCAGAAGAAUAAGAGAUGCCUUCAGGGAAAACAAACAUAUAAAGGAUUCAGAAGAAAUAGAAAGACUAAUAAAUAAAGCAAGAACGAACCUAGAGAUUAUUCAUCGGCAGGUUACAUGAUAUUCUUCAUUGUCAUUUGACUGGUUUAUUGGUCUACUUCGACAUCCCAGCAUGUUGCAUGCUGGUGAGACACAGGCCUCUCUGAACUAUUUAGACCACAUUAUGAGUGGUUAGGUCACCAUUGGUCAACUCUAUUCUACCCAGAAGCUCGUUAUUGAGAGUCCAGAAAAAAGGGAUAAUCUGAUCAUCUAGCACCGUUAGACCAUCCGCAGCAUUCUGUAGUGCUGCACAUCAAUAGCACAGUGUGUAUGCACCCUGUCUGUGUUGGAAAAAACCAAUGUCCAGUAAAAGAUAAAGCUUUUGAAAUGCUCAGCUUUUGGCAACCAAAGCAGUAUAGAAUUUCUCUUCUCAUGGUUCAUGCUUUGUGUGUAAUGUAUUCCUAAUGCUAUUGGCUAGUAUUUAAUGUGUAAUGAGACCAUUUCUUGGUCUUAUUUGACAAUAAAAUUCCAUGAACCGAA